rnacentral:rRNA from 1 species
GGGAAACAACCCAGAUCUCCAGCUAAGGUCCCCAAGUUAUGGCUAAGUGGGAAAGGAUGUGGAAAGACCAAAACAACCAGGAGGUUGGCUUAGAAGCAGCCAUCCUUUAAAGAAAGCGUAACAGCUCACUGGUCUAAAUAAGUUUUUCUGCGCCGAAAAUGUAUCGGGGCUCAAGCCAUACACCGAAGCUGAGAGUGCCUUUAAUGGCGCGGUAGCGGAGCAUUCUGUAGGCCUGUGAAGGUGACUCGUGAGAGUUGCUGGAGGUAUCAGAAGAGAGAAUGCUGACAUAAGUAGCGACAAAGAAUGUGAAAGACAUUCUCGCCGAAAGUCCAAGGGUUCCUGCGCAACGUUAAUCGACGCAGGGUUAGCCGGCCCCUAAGGCGAGGCCGAAAGGCGUAGUCGAUGGGAAUCAGGUUAAUAUUCCUGAGCCUGUGGGAAGUGACGGAUGUUGUAUAUUGUUCGGUCUUAUUGGAUUGACGGCGGUGAAGAUGUCCAGGAAAUAACUCCCACGGACUAGACCGUACCCAACCGACACAGG